CUCUCCUUCUCUCAAUAAAAUAAAAUCUUAAAAACAUCUUUACCAAUAGCCUACUGUUAAUUAGAAGCCUUACAGAUAACAUAAACAGUUGAUUAACACAUACUUUGUAUAUGUAUUAUAUGCUAGAUUAUUAAAAGA